CCUACGGGAGGCAGCAGUAGGGAAUCUUUCACAAUGGGCGAAAGCCUGAUGGAGCAACGCCGCGUGCAGGAUGAAGGCCUUCGGGUUGUAAACUGUUUUUAUAAGCGAGAAAUAUGAUGGUAACUUAUGAAUAAGGAUCGGCUAACUACGUGCCAGCAGCCGCGGUCAUACGUAGGAUCCGAGCAUUAUCCGGAGUGACUGGGUGUAAAGAGUUGCGUAGGUGGCAUAAGAAGUAGCUAGUGAAAUCGGGUGGCUCAACCAUUCAGACUAUUAGCUAAACUGUUAAGCUCGAGACCGUUAGGGGUAACUGGAAUUUCUGGUGUAGGAGUGAAAUCCGUAGAUAUUAGAAGGAACACCAAUGGCGUAGGCAGGUUACUGGGACGGUUCUGACACUAAGGCACGAAAGCGUAGGGAGCAAACGGGAUUAGAUACCCUUGUAGUC
rnacentral:rRNA from 1 species